ensembl:lncRNA
ACGGGAAGGAUUCAACACACCACUGUUGGCCUGAAGGGAGAAUGGAGAGCGGCCCUGACUGGCGGCCAGCAGGGGAGCAUGGGCCUCAGCCCCACGAGCGCCAGGAAACUGAGUUCUUCCAAUCCAAGUGAGCUUGGAGUGGAUUUCUCCCAGCCUGGCUGACACCCUGACUUCAGUCUUGUGAUACUCUGAGCAGAGAUCCAGCUCCACCAGAUUGGACCUACAGGACAGAAUUGUAGCUUGUAAAUGAGACUGGCUGGUUCUACAGAACCAAAACCAGCCUGGGCGUGUUUCCUUAAAGAAACUUCUAGAAAGCACGACUCAGAGAGGCUUGCAGGCUGCAUCUCUCCUGCUCCAUCUUCCAAACAUGCUCAGGGAUACCACCCCUGCCCCAAGACUAUAAGAUCUGAGCCUGCCACCACGUUGGAAGUGGGGAAAGGAAACAGAAGACAGGGAGGGGAAAAUACUCCAGGAACUACUAUCUUCACACACUGCUCCUCCCCAAAGCUUCAUCCCAUGGCCCCGUGGAUCCAGACGUGGUGGAGGAAAGUUUUCCCACAGGGGCAUCAGAUGACGCAGCAUCUGAUCAAAAGACAGCCAGGCCUCGUACACAACUGCCUGUCCCCCACCCGACUUCUCCGUUCCUUCUGGACCAAACCCUAGAUCACUGUGGGAAAUGGAAAGGAAAGCAGUGCCCCAGGCUCUGGCUGGCAGGCAGGGGACCUACAGGGAGCAUCGCCCUGAGGGUAGCAGCAUAUGGCAAUGACGGAUGUCCAGACGGCGGAAACCCUAGACUCCAGGGCGAAGGGAGAAACCAUCUGGUGACAUUUCCUGGCGUCAGGCUCUGGGGGACCACAUCUGGACUGGUAAUCUCAUAGACGCACGUGUCUUCCUGGGGUCCACAGCAGGGCCCACUGCAGGCCCUGGAAUGUGGGUUGAGAGAGGUGACACCUCUGAGAACCACAGGGGAAGCAGCCUUCCUGUUUCUUGGCCUGGGGCAGCCUCUAGAGAGAAGAGGCAAACGGAACUAGUGGUUGCCAGCUCUUCCGGGCCCAUUUUCUGCCAGGCAGUGUGCCUUGCGUUUUCUGUGCAUUGUAUCGUUUCACUCUCAUAACAAAUCCACAAGGUUGGGAAAUCCGCCUUUUGAAGCUGAGGAAGUUGAAUCACAAGGAGGUUAAAAUAAGUUGCCCGAUUCAUCCAUCCCCUAAGUGGUAGAAUCAGAGCCAAUGAGAAAACAAAUCUCAGACGGUGGAGUUGUCAGGCUUCAGCCCAACAGAUUCUGCCCAUUACUGCUCUGGUUUUCCGCUCUCUCGGUUUCCUUCACAUGGGGAUUCCCCAAAAUGUCUGUAGGUUGGAAGUGGGAAGAAAAGCCACAUGGCUAAAAGGCAGCAUGAGUGAGCAAGCAUCUGGGUGAAUCUGUUGAUUAGAUGUCAAAGAACCCAAGCAGAGUGGGAUUGCUUUGAUCUUGAUGACUACAGGCUAACCGAGACUCACUCCUUUGGUUCCUCAGAGGUGGUUACAACUGUUUGCACUCACUGUGGCUUCCUGAGAGGCUCCCACUCUGGCCCCCACUGUUUUAGGCCUCUUUAACACAUGGAUGGGAAGAAUUACUCAUUUCCUCUUUUUGUGUCAAUGGCUUGGAUUCCAAAUGAUUCCAUAAUAUUUACCACUUUGUGUUGAAGUGUGUUGUCGCCAACCAUUCCACCCAAGCGCCAUUAGUAUUCAUUCUUGUUCCUUCAAGACCAAAGUCAGUCCAGCACGUAGUGGGUCUUUAGUAUUUGAGAGGAAGAAGGAAAAGCAGAGUAACUUUUGCAUUGUCCAGGCCCCAGAGAUAUAAGGGUUUGGUCCUAGAAUGUGUUCUCACAAACAGACCGGAACCUAAUCAGUCCCAAAAGCAGAAGCAUCUCUGACUUGCCCUCUGGUGCUGGAGGAUAAAUCCUGACACUGUGUUGAAACAGGAUGUCCCAGUCACGGAAGAGGAGGUCAAGGGUAUGGUCAUGUGAACACGGUCUGAGGCAGGACUUGGGGCCCAGGAGAGAUGGGGGGCUGAACCGCAGAUAAGUCAGGUUCAUUUAAAGGGGCCUUCACCAGUGAUGACGACAACAGAAAAUCUCCACUGCUGCUCUUCUCCUGGGGCUUUCAAAGGACCCUCUGACGAAACCAUUACCAGGAAAAUUACUUCCCUUAAAAUCUCUUCCUAUCAGGCUCUGCCUCCCUUCGCCAUCUGGUCCUUUCUACCACUCCCCCUCUAAGCCCCUUUCCUGCCCCACCAGAC